rnacentral:tRNA from 1 species
CAAGCUGUAAUUUAAAUUAAAAUAAGGGCAUUGGGAGCCUUAAAUCUUCUUUUUUAGAAGUUGCUUGA